GGUUCUUUGGUCUAGUGGUAUGAUACUCGCUUAGGGUUCAACCUUAAGCCAAAUUGCGAGUGGCCCCGGGUUCGACUCCCGGAAGAACCC
rnacentral:tRNA from 1 species